rnacentral:rRNA from 1 species
AUUGAACGCUGGCGGCAUGCUUUACACAUGCAAGUCGAACGGCAGCGCGGGCUUCGGCCUGGCGGCGAGUGGCGAACGGGUGAGUAAUGCAUCGGAACGUGCCCAGUAGUGGGGGAUAGCCCGGCGAAAGCCGGAUUAAUACCGCAUACGACCUGAGGGUGUAAGCGGGGGACCGAAAGGCCUCGCGCUAUUGGAGCGGCCGAUGUCGGAUUAGCUAGUUGGUGGGGUAAAGGCUUACCAAGGCGACGAUCCGUAGCUGGUCUGAGAGGACGACCAGCCACACUGGGACUGAGACACGGCCCAGACUCCUACGGGAGGCAGCAGUGGGGAAUUUUGGACAAUGGGGGCAACCCUGAUCCAGCCAUGCCGCGUGCGGGAAGAAGGCCUUCGGGUUGUAAACCGCUUUUGUUCGGGAAGAAAUCCUCUGGGCUAAUACCCCGGGGGGAUGACGGUACCGGAAGAAUAAGCACCGGCUAACUACGUG